GGGAGACUGUGUGGCCACGAAAGAUAAAUCCACUAAUAUAUAAAGUAAAACAAUUACAACGUUGUACUUAUUUGUAAAGACAAAGCUAUAACAAUGACACAUAUAAAGCUUGGCUUCUUGAAUUGACACUUGGGCUCCCUCCAAAUAUGAGGCUCUCUCUCAAAAUACUUUAAGCUCCCCUUAAGUACAGGUACACUUGUGACAUCCCAAAUUUUUUGAGGGCCUCUCGUUGGUGAUCUGCUCAGUCCACCGUCCGCCACUCAACCCAAUCGACACCAGCCAUGGUCUCUGCCGUCGAGUUGUGCAUAGUUUGUCGCGCCAAUCACAAACGUCAACCAGCCACGCUCGCAUCCAAUCACGUCUGUGCUUACGCCGUUCGCAUCGUCGAUCCAUCGUGCGUCUCCGGUCAACCGCGCCUCCUUGCCCAAUCGACCGUGUCACCGUUGCUCGCCAGAAUCUUGAGGGUGAUUUGGAGUUUUUGGGAGCGAAAGCGCACUACCGAGCGGAAUUAUGCGUUUUUUGGCAAAGUAUUGGCGAGUUCUUGAGCUUUCUAUGAAGUUUUUGGAUUGUGGUUGAUUAUCAAUUAGGUUUCUGGACUAACCUUGUUUUACCCGUAUGAUGUUGAUGUUGGAUUUGGAGGGUUGGAAUUGAUUUUUGGUUUAAAACGCUUAACUUGGUUUAUGUUAGGGUGGAGAUUCAAUUAGGGUUUAGAGGGAGACUUGAGUAGCCGCACUUUGGGUACUAAUUUGCGUUUUUCAUUGGGGAUCGUUUCACUUGGUGUUAUUUGGGCUUAAUAUUGAGGUAAAUGAUGCUAUUAUCGGGGUGCCCUCGUGCCAGGCGCCCUAGUUCAAAAUUAUCGAGUUAUUAAUAGAUUUUAGAAGCAUGAUUUGAAAUAUGUGUUACUUUAUUUGAUGCAUGAAAGUUAUGAGGACUAUGAGCAUGUUGAAAUUAUAUGUUGUGUUGUGGGAUAACUUACGAGACUUAUGUAUGUGAUAACUUGUAAAAAUACAAGUUAUUUAUGCUGCCUUAUCUAGAUAUUGCGGCCAAAAGAGAAGGAAUAUGCGUCGAUUGUAUGAAAAUUAGCUCAGAAGUACAAUAAUUAUGAAUUAACAUA